UUAGCGGUGGUUACUGUAGUGAGCAAGUCUGCUCCUGUCAAGGGAGGAGUUUGGGCUAUAAAAAUGCAUUCGUCUCCAGCAUAGAACUUCUGAAAAGGAAUGGUCCAGAGCAAAAGUUGACAUCACUGAUCGGCAACAGACUCUGAGUUUAUUGCAAUAUUUCAAGUUAGCAUUGCAGCAUUUAGGAUUUACAGAGAGAAACAACUGUGUGUGGCAAAAGGUUGACACAAAUACAUCCAGCUUCCACAGUGAAGAAAGAAUGAAAGCCUACCUAUGCUUUAUCUUUGCAUCCGUAGUAUUUGGAGAUUUUACAGAGUUUGUUCUUCACGAAACCCUCUACACAGUACUGACAGGGAAUAAAGAACCAGCCAGGCUGCAUUGUUCUGUCGUUUGUGGAUGAUCUGCAGAUCGACUACUAUAACAGUUCAUCUAAAGUAGUGGAACUGCAGGAGUGGGCAAAGCAGCUUGCACCUGAUCACUAUGUACAGCACAAGUCAAAGGCUCACUCUUCAGAGUGUGAGAGGAUGAAAAAACAAUUAACUGAUGUUAUGGAACUCUUUAAACACAGUGCAGGUGCGCACAUGUAUCAAAGAAAGUUUGGUUGUAAAUGGGCUUCCGUAACCGGAUACACAGAGGGACUUGAUGAAUAUCGUUAUGAUGGAAAACAAUUCAUAGUUCUUAAAGUGAAAAAUGAUCCACCUGCCUAUAUUCACUCGUUGGAAGAGGCCAGAGCCGUAGCAGAAGCUUUAAACAACAACAAAUCACAGCUUAAAGAACAAAAUAACUACUACAAAAAUGAAUGUCCUAAAUGGCCAAAGAGGAUUGGCUCAAGAGGAAUCAGUGUUGUGGAGA